rnacentral:rRNA from 1 species
GGACUACAGGGGUAUCUAAUCCUGUUUGCUCCCCACGCUUUCGCGCCUCAGCGUCAGUUAAUGUCCAGCAGGCCGCCUUCGCCACUGGUGUUCCUCCGUAUAUCUACGCAUUUCACCGCUACACACGGAAUUCCGCCUGCCUCUCCAUCACUCAAGAACUUCAGUUUCCACCGCAGUUUCAGGGUUGAGCCCUGAAAUUUCACGGCAGACUUAAAGUCCCGCCUACGCGCCCUUUACACCCAGUAAAUCCGGACAACGCUCGCCACCUACGUAUUACCGCGGCUGCUGGCAC